AGUGAACGCUGGCGGUAGGCCUAACACAUGCAAGUCGAACGGCAGCACAGUACUAGCUCGCUCUUACGGGUGGCGAGUGGCGGGCGGGUGCUGGAAACAUCGGAAUCUACUUUUUCGUACGGGCUAACGCAGGGAAACUUACGGUAAUACCGCAUACGACCUACGGGUGAAAGCUUCGGACCUUCCGCUCUUGCGUGAUCCAAUGUGCCGAUGUCGGAUUAGCUAGUUGGCGGGGUAAAGGCCCACCAAGGCGACGAUCCGUAGCUGGUCUGAGAGGAUGAUCAGCCACACUGGAACUGAGACACGGUCCAGACUCCUACGGGAGGCAGCAGUGGGGAAUAUUGGACAAUGGGCGAAAGCCUGAUCCAGCCAUGCCGCGUGUGUGAAGAAGGCCUUCGGGUUGUAAAGCCCUUUUGGUGGGGAAGAAGAGCAGCAGGUUAAUACCCCGCUGUUCUGACGGUACCAAAAGAAUAAGCACCGGCUAACUUCGUG
rnacentral:rRNA from 1 species